UACGUAGGGUGCGAGCGUUAAUCGGAAUUACUGGGCGUAAAGCGCACGCAGGCGGUCUGUUAAGUCAGAUGUGAAAUCCCCGGGCUUAACCUGGGAACUGCAUUUGAAACUGGCAGGCUUGAGUCUUGUAGAGGGGGGUAGAAUUCCAGGUGUAGCGGUGAAAUGCGUAGAGAUCUGGAGGAAUACCGGUGGCGAAGGCGGCCCCCUGGACAAAGACUGACGCUCAGGUGCGAAAGCGUGGGGAGCAAACAGG
rnacentral:rRNA from 1 species